AUGCUUCAGCAUCGUAACAAGAUCGCACGCGCAAUCAACCGCAACGAUAGUGCAGAAACAGAAGUCAGAAAUGAGAAGAAGCAUAAGGUGCAAAAGACUCACCUGAGAUUCUCACCGUCGUACUGGAGUAGCAAAAGUAUCAAUCAGUCUGAGCGGUUGUCGACAGAGAGUGGGGAAGACGAUGAGGUUGACACUGGGAAGGAAGUGAGACGAAGACUGAAAUUGACGGAGGAGAAGAAGCCAUGGAGCUUCAAUGGUGGAGAUCGUCGAAGAAGAGGCAGUCGCAACACAAUGUGUUGA